rnacentral:lncRNA from 1 species
AUGCGGAGAAUAAGAAGGCAAGAUUUGGCCACAGUUAAGGCGAAGAGAGGAGGGAAGCGGGAGCACCUUGGACGGGGCGCCUCGGCCCUGUCCGCCGCGGCGGCGGGGGCUGAGGGGCUGAAGAGGAGAUGCCGAGGGAGCCAAGAGCUCUCCUUCUCCCUCCUAGCGGCAGAGCGAGCGACAAACUUGCCCCACGCCACACCAGGUUACACAGAAACUUUGCUUUCCCAUGAGCUCCGGACAGCAAAAUGCUGCUUGAGGAGACCGCGAGCCGCUUUCCGGGCUGCUGCUAUAAUUAAGUUAGGUGUGGCGAUCCCAGAUCCGAGGGAGAAGGAAAUGAUUGAUACCGCCAGAACCCCCUUCCCUUACGCAGCCCCGAGCAGCGCCCGGCGCAGGCUGACAAACUGCUGCUCUGUCCAGAGAUCACACAGAGGGUCUGAUACUUUUUAUUUUCUUGCUUGCACCACGGGAGAACUUUCGUCUGAGAAAGACAAUUUCAUUUUGAGUCCACUGCUUGCGAGCAUUGUUGAUCCUGGACGUCACCGACAAUACGAGUCUUGGUGAUAAAUCAUUAAAGAG